rnacentral:rRNA from 1 species
UGGGGAAUAUUGCGCAAUGGGCGAAAGCCUGACGCAGCGACGCCGCGUGAGGGAUGAAGGUUUUCGGAUCGUAAACCUCUGUCAGAAGGGAAGAAACUACAUUGUGCUAAUCAGCAGUGUACUGACGGUACCUUCAAAGGAAGCACCGGCUAACUCCGUGCCAGCAGCCGCGGUAAUACGGAGGGUGCAAGCGUUAAUCGGAAUUACUGGGCGUAAAGCGCACGUAGGCUGUAGUGUAAGUCAGGGGUGAAAUCCCACGGCUCAACCGUGGAACUGCCUUUGAUACUGCACAACUUGAAUCCGGGAGAGGGUGGCGGAAUUCCAGGCGUAGGAGUGAAAUCCGUAGAUAUCUGGAGGAACAUCAGUGGCGAAGGCGGCCACCUGGACCGGUAUUGACGCUGAGGUGCGAAAGCGUGGGGAGCAAACA